GUUCCCGUAGUUAAAUGUCUGUAACAACGGCUUUUCAGGCCGUAGAUCCUGGAGAGAGGCCGGGCGGGAAUU
rnacentral:tRNA from 1 species